rnacentral:rRNA from 1 species
UGGGGAAUUUUGGACAAUGGGCGAAAGCCUGAUCCAGCAAUGCCGCGUGUGUGAAGAAGGCCUUCGGGUUGUAAAGCACUUUUGUCCGGAAAGAAAUCCUUGACUCUAAUACAGUCGGGGGAUGACGGUACCGGAAGAAUAAGCACCGGCUAACUACGUGCCAGCAGCCGCGGUAAUACGUAGGGUGCAAGCGUUAAUCGGAAUUACUGGGCGUAAAGCGUGCGCAGGCGGUUUGCUAAGACCGAUGUGAAAUCCCCGGGCUCAACCUGGGAACUGCAUUGGUGACUGGCAGGCUAGAGUAUGGCAGAGGGGGGUAGAAUUCCACGUGUAGCAGUGAAAUGCGUAGAGAUGUGGAGGAAUACCGAUGGCGAAGGCAGCCCCCUGGGCCAAUACUGACGCUCAUGCACGAAAGCGUGGGGAGCAAACAGGAUUAGAUACCCUGGUAGUCCACGCCCUAAAACGAUGUCAACUAGUUGUUGGGGAUUCAUUUCCUUAGUAACGUAGCUAACGCGUGAAGUUGACCGCCUGGGGAGUACGGUCGCAAGAUUAAAACUUAAAUGAAUUGACGGGGUCAUAGCUGUUUCCU